ensembl:lncRNA
GAGCACCGUCUGCUGUGAUGUUUCAGACAUUAUCAAGCUGAUUAAGUCCCAUUCAAAUGUUUCUUUAUCACCGAUUUGUUUUAUUUUUUUACACUCUCCAGGUCCCUGUGUCCCUCCCCCUCCUCGAUCCCCCUGUGUGCGAGUCCCUCAUCUCAGCUUUGGUUGCUGUGCAGAUGGCUCUUUGUUGGUGCUUCACAAUGGGUCUAAGGACUUGCCUGUAAACCAGAGAAAGCCAGCCAGACCAUGCUGGACACUGCUGUUCAAAACAAAAGAGCUCAGUUUGCCCCCACCAAUUCCUCCAAUUAUCGGGACCCUUCCCCCGCCUAAUCCUGACCUCUGCUCUGUGGGCCCCACUUUGCUACCCCUGAGUACUGACAUUCCACAAAUCAGGUCAGUCCUUUGUCCUGAGGAAAUUAAGGUGAAAUUAAGGUGCUUUACUUCCUAUCCUAUAUCCUCUGACCCGUUAGCAGGGCGGAGAACAGUUUAACAUUUAAUGUUUCCCCAGGCAAUGAACUAAUGCAAAAGAUUUGAUUAACUUUCAAAAGUGUGUCAUUGUUAAUACAAAAAGGCUUUUCUUUCAUACAGUAUUGCUUUCCGUGUUCCCAUAACUUUGAAUAGCAUAAAAAAAAGGUUUUCCAGUUCCUACUUGUGGAAAGUGUGGCAAACACAUUACAGUUGUUGGCAAUUAAGAGGUUUGCAAAAAUCACCACAUAAAGUGCGUCUCUUUUCCAACUUGCUCUUUUGCUGCAACAGUUUGGUUCACUUCUUUACCUGCAGACUAAAACAGGCUGCCCAUAGAUGGAUUUUUUUCCUUUGUAACAGAUUGGUGGCACAUGGAAACAUGUUGAGGUAGGCAAAUAGGAAAAAAAAAAAAGACAGGAAAUGAUCUCACAAACACUCCCCCUCUCUCUGAUUGCUCCAAUUUUCCAGUUACAGAAAAAGAGUGAGUAAUGCCUUCUGCUGCUUUUUAGUCUGCUCCUCUGUUCCACCCGUGGGUCUACUGAAGACCAUUACAUUGUGGAUGUCUGCUUCAAUGCUCUGCAGUCUCCACAUGCUCUUCAUUUCCUAUGUAAAAGGGUAUAACACUUUAUGCAAUGCCAAGAUGACGUGAUGUGAUAUCUUUCAUUGUCACUUUGUCUAUUAAUGUUCAACCAAACACUAUAAAACCAAUGCUGUGUCAUUGUGAUUAUCUUUUGUUCAUUGUUCGUGAUUGUCUUUCACAUGAUAUCGCGAUAUUUUAAUAUAUCCUUGUGGUAGAAGUAUACUCAGCAUAAAUUAAAAAAAACAUCCUUAUAUGAGACAGAAAAUAAAUCUCAAAGUAACCAGCU